GACAGAGGGUGCAAACGUUGUUCGGAAUUACUGGGCGUAAAGAGUGUGUAGGCGGUGCUCUAAGUUCGGUGUGAAAUCUCCUGGCUUAACUGGGAGGGUGCGCCGGAAACUGGAGUGCUCGAGCGUGGGAGAGGAAAGCGGAAUUCCUGGUGUAGCGGUGAAAUGCGUAGAUAUCAGGAGGAACACCUGUGGUGUAGACGGCUUUCUGGACCAUAGCUGACGCUGAGACACGAAAGCGUGGGUAGCAAACAGG
rnacentral:rRNA from 1 species